AUUGAACGCUGGCGGCAGGCCUAACACAUGCAAGUCGAGCGGAUGAAGGGAGCUUGCUCCUGGAUUCAGCGGCGGACGGGUGAGUAAUGCCUAGGAAUCUGCCUGGUAGUGGGGGAUAACGUCCGGAAACGGGCGCUAAUACCGCAUACGUCCUGAGGGAGAAAGUGGGUGAUCUUCGGACCUCACGCUAUCAGAUGAGCCUAGGUCGGAUUAGCUAGUUGGUAGGGUAAAGGCCUACCAAGGCGACGAUCCGUAACUGGUCUGAGAGGAUGAUCAGUCACACUGGAACUGAGACACGGUCCAGACACGUACGGGAGGCAGCAGUGGGGAAUAUUGGACAAUGGGCGAAAGCCUGAUCCAGCCAUGCCGCGUGUGUGAAGAAGGACUUCGGAUUGUAAAGCACUUUAAGUUGGGAGGAAGGGAAGUAAGUUAAUACCGUGCUGUUUUGACGUUACCAACAGAAUAAGCACCGGCUAACUUCGUG
rnacentral:rRNA from 1 species